rnacentral:rRNA from 1 species
CCGGCCUGAGAGGGCGACCGGCCACACUGGGACUGAGACACGGCCCAGACUCCUGCGGGAGGCAGCAGUGGGGAAUAUUGCGCAAUGGGCGAAAGCCUGACGCAGCGACGCCGCGUGGGGGAUGACGGCCUUCGGGUUGUAAACCUCUUUUACCACCAACGCAGGCUCCCAGUUCUCCGGGGGUUGACGGUAGGUGGGGGAUAAGGACCGGCUAACUACGUGCCAGCAGCCGCGGUAAUACGUAGGGUCCGAGCGUUGUCCGGAAUUAUUGGGCGUAAAGAGCUCGUAGGCGGCGUGUCGCGUCUGCUGUGAAAGACCGGGGCUUAACUCCGGGUUCUGCAGUGGAUACGGGCAUGCUAGAGGUAGGUAGGGGAGACUGGAAUUCCUGGUGUAGCGGUGAAAUGCGCAGAUAUCAGGAGGAACACCGGUGGCGAAGGCGGGUCUCUGGGCCUUACCUGACGCUGAGGAGCGAAAGCAUGGGGAGCGAACAGGAUUAGAUACCCUGGUAGUCCAUGCCGUAAACGUUGGGCGCUAGGUGUGGGGACUUUCCACGGUUUCCGCGCCGUAGCUAACGCAUUAAGCGCCCCGCCUGGGGAGUACGGCCGCAAGGCUAAAACUCAAAGGAAUUGACGGGGGCCCGCACAAGCGGCGGAGCAUGUUGCUUAAUUCGACGCAACGCGAAGAACCUUACCAAGGUUUGACAUCACCCGUGGACUCGCAGAGAUGUGAGGUCAUUUAGUUGGCGGGUGACAGGUGGUGCAUGGCUGUCGUCAGCUCGUGUCGUGAGAUGUUGGGUUAAGUCCCGCAACGAGCGCAACCCUUGUUCCAUGUUGCCAGCACGUAAUGGUGGGGACUCAUGGGAGACUGCCGGGGUCAACUCGGAGGAAGGUGGGGAUGACGUCAAGUCAUCAUGCCCCUUAUGUCUUGGGCUGCAAACAUGCUACAAUGGCCGGUACAAUGGGCGUGCGAUACCGUAAGGUGGAGCGAAUCCCUAAAAGCCGGUCUCAGUUCGGAUUGGGGUCUGCAACUCGACCCCAUGAAGGUGGAGUCGC